GGUUCGUGAGUGAGCAAUUCAAUAACGACCCAAGUGGAAGACUAGGUUUCCAAUCAAAAGGCAAGUCAAAUUGGCUCUUUUGAGCUCUACCUUACUAUCUCUGUGACAUAGGCAGGGGGUUGCAACCUUUGUGCAAGGUUUACAUUGACAACGACGACCAUGAAGAAGCUGAUCGAGAGGGCGAUGGGAUUGCAAAGUCAAGGCACUAUGGGGAG
rnacentral:lncRNA from 1 species